CCUACGGGAGGCAGCAGUGAGGAAUAUUGGUCAAUGGGCGCGAGCCUGAACCAGCCAAGUAGCGUGAAGGAUGACUGCUCUACGGUUUGUAAACUUCUUUUAUAUAGGAAUAAAGUGAGGCACGUGUGCCUUUUUGUAUGUACCUUAUGAAUAAGCAUCGGCUAACUCCGUGCCAGCAGCCGCGGUAAUACGGAGGAUCCGAGCGUUAUCCGGAUUUAUUGGGUUUAAAGGGAGCGUAGAUGGUUUAUUAAGUCAGUUGUGAAAGUUUGUGGCUCAACCGUAAAAUUGCAAUUGAUACUGGCAGCCUUGAGUACAGUUGAGGUAGGCGGAAUGCGUGGUGUAGCGGUGAAAUGCUUAGAUAUCACGAAGAACUCCGAUUGCGAAGGCAGCUUACUAAACUGUAACUGACAUUGAUGCUCGAAAGUGUGGGGAUCAAACAGGAUUAGAUACCCGAGUAGUC
rnacentral:rRNA from 1 species